CUUGGAUAACUGUGGUAAUUCUAGAGCUAAUACAUGCAAAAACGCCCCUGGCCACCCAUGGCUAGGGCGCUUUUAUUUGAUCAAGAUCAUUCGCCCGGUUCGCCCGAGCGUCUACUUGAUGAAUCAGAAUAACACAUCAGAUCGCAUGGUCUCCGUACCGGCGACUUAUCUUUCAAAUGCCUGACUUAUCAACUUACGAUGGUAGACUCUGUGUCUACCAUGGCUCUUACGGGUAACGGGGAAUCAGGGUUCGAUUCCGGAGAGGGAGCCUGAGAAACGGCUACCACAUCCAAGGAAGGCAGCAGGCACGCAAAUUACCCACUCCCGGCACGGGGAGGUAGUGACAAAAAAUAACGAUGCGGGACUCGAUUGAGGCUCCGCAAUCGGAAUGAGUACACUUUAAACACUUAUUCAAAAGUCAAUUGGAGGGAAAGUCUGGUGCCAGCAGCCGCGGUAAUUCCAGCUCCGAUAGCGUAUAUUAAAGUUGUUGCGGUUAAAAAGCUCGUAGUUGGUUCUGCGUCCCACGCUGUCGGUACACCGCACGUCGGUGACACUGGCACGCCGUGGUAUGUCCUGUCGGUGGCGGCCGAGGCCUUUGCGCGAAGGGUCUCCCGUAGUGCACUGGCGUCACUCGGCCGCCGACUUCUAUCCUACCGCGGUGCUCUUCAUUGAGUGUCGAGGUAGGCCGACACGUUUACUUUGAACAAAUUAGAGUGCUUAAAGCAGGCCAAAAACUCUGCCUAAAUAGUGGUGCAUGGAAUAAUGGAACAGGACCUUGGUUCUAUUUUGUUGGUCUUAGGAACACAAGGUAAUGAUCAAUGUGGACAGGCGGGGGCAUUCGUAUUGCGUCCUCCGAUGAGGCGGGGCCGGGAAACCAAAGCUUUUGGGUUUUGGGGGAAGUAUGGUUGCAAAGCUGAAACUUAAAGGAAUUGACGGAAGGGCACCACAAGGAGUGGAGCCUGCGGCUUAAUUUGACUCAACACGGGAAACCUCACCAGGUCAGGACAUUGGAAUGAUUGACAGAUUGACAGCUCUUUCUUGAUUCAGUGGGUAGUGGUGCAUGGCCGUUCUUAGUUGGUGGAUCGAUUUGUCUGGUCAAUUCCGAUAACGAACGAGACUCUAGCCUAUUAACUAGACGUUCCCGGUAUCGUCUGCUACCGGCGAAACCUUAUCUUCUUAGGGGGACAGGCGGCUUUCAGCCGCACGAGAUUGAGCAAUAACAGGUCUGUGAUGCCCUUAGAUGUCCUGGGCCGCACGCGCGCUACACUGAAGGAAUCAGCGUGUGCUUUCCCUUGCCCGAAAGGCCCGGGUAACCCGCUGAACCUCCUUCGUGCUAGGAAUUGGGGCUUGCAAUUGUUCCCCAUGAACGAGGAAUUCCGAGUAAGCGCGAGUCAUAAGCUCGCGUUGAUUAAGUCCCUGCCCUUUGUACACACCGCCCGUCGCUACUACCGAUUGAAUGAUUUAGUGAGGUCUUCGGACCGGCGGUUUUGACCUGACCGGCUCGCGUCGGUUUUGACAGACGCUGGAAAGAUGACCAAACUUGAUCAUUUAGAGGAAGUAAAAGUCGUAACAAGGUUUCC
rnacentral:rRNA from 1 species